rnacentral:lncRNA from 1 species
UACUGUGGUCUUUCCCUUUAGGACAGACGUUAUUCUCAUCCUUUUGCAAGUCAUGAACCCUGAGUUUACUUCCAGGCCUUCCUCAUAUCUAUUGUGUUUCAUGAAAAAGAGGGCGGACCCUAACCUUUCAUGCCUCAUGUUCAUAGCCUUCAAAUGACUCUCAGUUGCCCAGGAGGGACACCGCCUUAGCUCCCCAGGGAUGCCGACAGGCUACCCGAGGCAUUGAGCUCAAGGAUGGUUUCUAUAAGUCGGGCAUCAGAGGCAGCAGAGAAGACCCUCCUGCAGCUCAUCUCAACUGAGAUGGACAAUGAGAUGUGAUGACAUCACCUGUUGGGCUGAUGAUUAUGACUGAUUCAAGUAGAUGUCAGUUUUGUCCUCUAGAAAUUCAAGCCCUGAAGAAAAGCAACACUUACAGAGAGGGAAGGGGUAGGUUGACAUCUACAUAAAUAUUGACAGAAAAGGAAAACAGUGAGAAACACGGUCUCACAGAAAAGAGGAGACAGAAGGCAGCCCAUUGGAGUGGAGAUUCCCAAGGUACAUGCUGCUCAAAAUCUUUGUUUUAUCAGCACCCGGUACAAGAGGCCUUUUGUGCACAAUUUCCCUGGUGUCUCUCCAAGUACAUU